AAGGAGAGAGGGAGAGAAGUGGACUCCCCCAACUGAGCCCAACAGGGCUUGAUCCACCACCCUGAGAUCAUGACCUGAGCCAAAAUCAAGGGUGGGACACUUAACCGAUUGAGCCACCCAGGGGCCCACUAAGCUAGUGUUUCGGAACUGUAACUUGGCUAACUCCAGGUGUCCUUACAAGAAGAAAAGACACAGUGAAGGAGGCCUUGUGAAGGAUUGGCGAUGAGCCAAGCAACACCUGGACCUUCCAGAAUCCAAAAGAGGAAAGAUUCUGCCCUAAAGUCUUCAUAGUGACCAUGACCCAGAGGACACCUUGAUUUUGGAUUUCUGCUUCCAGAAUUAAUUUCAUCCCUCUGAAUAAUGUCCAUUGUAGAAGUUAUUUUUGAAGCCACUUCUCUAGUAAACUUGCAAAAUAACACAAAAAAUGGUGUUUCUCCAAGCCAUAGCAGAUAUUGGUGUGAAACUCAAAAACAGCAACUCCCUAGCUUCCUUCCAGAUAAAAAAAACUGAGAUCCAGCAUGGUCAUAUCUUGCCCAAGGUCAUCUAGUGGGUGAUCACCACAAGGUCUCCAAUGCCCAGGAUAGGGCUGUUUUUACCCUGUUUCCUCCCAGCUGUUUGAUUUGAUAGCUUUGCCCUCCUGUAACAUUAAAAUAA